UACGUAGGUUGCGAGCGUUAUUCGGAUUUACUGGGCGUAAAGAGCACCGAGGUGGCUUCUUAAGUUGGAUGUAAAAUCUCCUGGCUUAACUGGGAGGCGCCAUUCAAAACUGAGGAGCUUGAGGUCAGCAGGGGAAGGUGGAAUUCCCGGUGUAGUGGUGGAAUGCGUAGAGAUCGGGAGGAACACCAGUGGCGAAAGCGACCUUCUGGGCCGCACCUGACACUCUAGUGCGAAAGCGUGGGGAGCAAACAGG
rnacentral:rRNA from 1 species